rnacentral:rRNA from 1 species
ACGAACGCUGGCGGCGUGCUUCACCCAUGCCAGUCGCACGGAAAGGCCCUGCUUUUGUGGGGUGCUCGAGUGGCGAACGGGUGAGUAACACGUGAGUAACCUGCCCUUGACUUUGGGAUAACUUCAGGAAACUGGGGCUAAUACCGGAUAGGAGCUCCUGCUGCAUGGUGGGGGUUGGAAAGUUUCGGCGGUUGGGGAUGGACUCGCGGCUUAUCAGCUUGUUGGUGGGGUAGUGGCUUACCAAGGCUUUGACGGGUAGCCGGCCUGAGAGGGUGACCGGCCACAUUGGGACUGAGAUACGGCCCAGACUCCUACGGGAGGCAGCAGUGGGGAAUAUUGCACAAUGGGCGGAAGCCUGAUGCAGCAACGCCGCGUGCGGGAUGACGGCCUUCGGGUUGUAACCGCUUUCGCCUGUGACGAAGCGUGAGUGACGGUAAUGGGUAAAGAAGCACCGGCUAACUACGUG